UACGGAGGGCGCAAGCGUUGCUCGGAAUUACUGGGCGUAAAGCGCGUGCAGGCGGUCGAGUAAGUCGGUUGUGAAAUCCCCAGGCUCAACCUGGGAACCGCAUCCGAAACUGCUCGGCUAGAGUCCCGGAGAGGGAGGCGGAACUCCCAGUGUAGGGGUGAAAUCCGUAGAUAUUGGGAAGAACACCGGCGGCGAAAGCGGCCUCCUGGACGGUGACUGACGCUGAGACGCGAAAGCGUGGGGAGCAAACAGG
rnacentral:rRNA from 1 species